AUUGAACGCUGGCGGCAUGCUUUACACAUGCAAGUCGAACGGCAGCGCGGGCUUCGGCCUGGCGGCGAGUGGCGAACGGGUGAGUAAUACAUCGGAACGUGCCCAGUAGUGGGGGAUAGCUCGGCGAAAGCCGGAUUAAUACCGCAUACGACCUGAGGGUGAAAGCGGGGGAUCUUCGGACCUCGCGCUAUUGGAGCGGCCGAUGGCAGAUUAGCUAGUUGGUGGGGUAAAGGCCUACCAAGGCGACGAUCUGUAGCUGGUCUGAGAGGACGACCAGCCACACUGGGACUGAAACACGGACCAGACUCCUACGGGAGGCAGCAGUGGGGAAUUUUGGACAAUGGGCGAAAGCCUGAUCCAGCAAUGCCGCGUGUGUGAUGAAGGCCUUCGGGUUGUAAAGCACUUUUGGCGGGAACGAAAAGGACUGUGCCAAUACCACGGUUCGAUGACGGUACCCGCAGAAUAAGCACCGGCUAACUACGUG
rnacentral:rRNA from 1 species